GGCGCGAGUGAUGGGACCUGGUGGAAUGACUAAGGCAUCAUCUUCUUCCCUUGAUUUGUCUUUGAACUCUUCAUCUCCAUCCUUGUGCUGGUCCAUGAUCAUAUCAUCCCCUCCCUCUUGAAAAGGAUUUGUCCUCAAAUCUGGCUCAUCUGCAAAAUAAGGAAUCAUGUCAGUGAUAUUAAAACUAUUGCUCACAUCAUACCUUCCUUGGAGAUCCAGCUUGUAAGCAUUGUUGCCGAUUUUCUUAUGAUCUCAAAUGGUCCAUCAAUC
rnacentral:lncRNA from 1 species